rnacentral:lncRNA from 1 species
GGCCACUGGGCUGUGGGCUCAGGGAUCCUGGCUGCCCUGGAGGUGGCCCAAGCACAGCUGGGAGGUUUCCUGAGGCCCUGAACUGAGUGAGACUAAAAGGGCUAGUGACACUUCCUUGUCCAUCCCGUUGUAUUGGCAGGGUCACUGACGUCACAGGCUACAGGGACUACCCAGAGCCCAGCCACCCAGCGGGUUCUGUCUGCUCAGGAUCCUGAGGAAACAAAGUGAGGCUCUGCUCCCACCCUGCCUCACCCGGAACCCCCCUCCUAGCCACAGCAGGUUCAGGAUCCUCUGUAGAAGGUUCCUUUAGAGCACAAGUUUCUGCCUAAAACACUGGGCACUCAGUGGCUUUUGUUCUUCCUUUGGAAUUCCUAAGGGCCUGGAACUGGAAGGAAAGCACCUCAGAGGCCACCUAUACAUCCCCACCACCUGCCCCUGUGCAAGACAGGAGACUGAGGCCCAGAGGGGCUGGUGUCUACCGGAAUUUGCGUAGCAGGUUGUGGUCCUGGGUGUGGACAGGAAUGGGAGCCUCCUGACUCCCAGGCCAGGUUUUGCCUAAGCGUGGGCAUCUGGGGACAUGAAGAGAAGCUGCCCAGAGGGAAAGCGGAGGACCAUGAGUCAUCUGGGUAUCUGUCUGAACACGUUGGUGGGUCUGUCCCUGGACAGGGUGGGGGUCUGAAUGUUCUGUAGCCCCCAUUCCCAUUCCCAUGGAGCAGGAUAUGCCCGAGAGGCAGGACACACCCAGGGACAGAGGUCAGCAGUGGCUGGUGGAGAGCAGAGCUCAUGGCCCCUUCAGGGGAUCUAGGCUCCUGUCCCCAGCAGCAUGGUCAAGGUGAUGGUGCAGGGGCAGCCUUCCCUCCUCUAUACCUCACCUUCUUCUGUCCCUCCGGGUCCCCAGGUUGAGUUUGUUGGGCCUCUGCCGGGCAGAGGUGCAUUCUAAAUGAGAAGCCAAGGCAAGGAGUGUGCUGGUGGAGUCACAGUAGACAAGGACGAAGGGGCGUGGGUCGGCAUGGAGCAAGGGACCCCGUACCCACCUAGGGUCACAGUGAAGCCAGGUACAU